rnacentral:rRNA from 1 species
UACGUAGGGUGCGAGCGUUGUCCGGAAUUAUUGGGCGUAAAGAGCUCGUAGGCGGUCUGUCGCGUCUGCUGUGAAAACUCAGGGCUUAACCCUGAGCUUGCAGUGGGUACGGGCAGACUAGAGUUCGGUAGGGGAGACUGGAAUUCCUGGUGUAGCGGUGAAAUGCGCAGAUAUCAGGAGGAACACCGAUGGCGAAGGCAGGUCUCUGGGCCGAUACUGACGCUGAGGAGCGAAAGCGUGGGGAGCGAACAGG